AGAACGAACGCUGGCGGCAGGCUUAACACAUGCAAGUCGAACGCUCGUAGCAAUACGGGAGUGGCAGACGGGUGAGUAACGCGUGGGAACAUACCCUCCGGUUCGGAAUAGCUCAGGGAAACUUGGAUUAAUACCGGAUACGGCUGAGAGGCGAAAGAUUUAUCGCCGGAGGAUUGGCCCGCGUCUGAUUAGCUAGUUGGUGAGGUAACGGCUCACCAAGGCGACGAUCAGUAGCUGGUCUGGGAGGAUGAUCAGCCACAUUGGGACUGAGACACGGCCCAAACUCCUACGGGAGGCAGCAGUGGGGAAUAUUGGACAAUGGGCGCAAGCCUGAUCCAGCCAUGCCGCGUGAGUGAUGAAGGCCCUAGGGUUGUAAAGCUCUUUUGUGCGGGAAGAUAAUGACGGUACCGCAAGAAUAAGCCCCGGCUAACUUCGUGCCAGCAGCCGC
rnacentral:rRNA from 1 species